rnacentral:misc_RNA from 1 species
UUUCCGUAGGUGAACCUGCGGAAGGAUCAUUGUCGAAACCUGCCCAGCAGAACGACCCGCGAACUUGUAUAAACAACCGGGGGCGGGGGGCGUUCUCGCCCCGUGCCCCCGAGCGGCGGGGAGACACUCGUGCCUUCUUGCCGAACAACGAACCCCGGCGCGGUCUGUGCCAAGGAACUUCAACUAAAGAGUGCCUCCGGUCGCCUCGGAAACGGCGUGCGUGCCGGGGGCGAAUCUUGUGCAAAACCAUAACGACUCUCGGCAACGGAUAUCUCGGCUCUC